GUAAAGGUUUCGACAGGGAUCUUGCAGCUGGUGAAGCGAGCCGCAGGGAGAUGCGUUAAAUCACAAAUUAAAUUUAAACGCUGAAGAUAAUUUAGCAUACGCUGCCUAAGGGCAGCAGUCGCCUCAGUGCACCUGCACGCUGAGUCACCGGCUUCAAACAUGCAGGAAACGGCAUUGGCAAAGCUUUGAGUUGAUGUACGUAUCAUGAAGCUACUAAAGCAUUAAGGGUGUGCUUCCCCGUAAUGUGGAGGGAAUGUCAAAGGAAUCACUACGCUCGUAGAAGAACAGGGAAUGGAUUUUUGGACGCGGGUUCGACUCCCGCCUGGUCCAUC
rnacentral:tmRNA from 1 species